rnacentral:rRNA from 1 species
UACGGGGGGGGUAAGCGUUGUUCGGAAUUACUGGGCGUAAAGGGCUCGUAGGCGGCCAACUAAGUCGGACGUGAAAUCCCUCGGCUUAACCGGGGAACUGCGUCUGAUACUGGAUGGCUUGAAUCCGGGAGAGGGAUGCGGAAUUCCGGGUGUAGCGGUGGAAUGCGUAGAGAUCCGGAAGAACACCUGAGGCGAAGGCGGCUUGCUGGGCCUGGUCUGACGCUGAGGCGCGAAAGCGUGGGGAGCAAACAGG